rnacentral:misc_RNA from 1 species
UGAUGCGAUUUCGGUAGACUGCUACAGCCGUCUCCAAAUCAUACACAAAUAGAAGACCAAGCUUUGUAAUCACAUAGAUCAAACCAUACUUCUGAGAAAUCUGCAUUGCUACAGGGAAAUCAUCAGCAAAAUCUGGUGGGAAGAACAAGUCUGCCUGUUUCUUUGUAAAUCCUGGCUUACCUGGCUGGGCACCAAGCUCGAUCACAUGCAAUUUUGAAGUUAUUUGUCCGGCAUUAGUG